AGAGUUUGAUCCUGGCUCAGAGCGAACGCUGGCGGCAGGCUUAACACAUGCAAGUCGAGCGGGCGUAGCAAUACGUCAGCGGCAGACGGGUGAGUAACGCGUGGGAACGUACCUUUUGGUUCGGAACAACACAGGGAAACUUGUGCUAAUACCGGAUAAGCCCUUACGGGGAAAGAUUUAUCGCCGAAAGAUCGGCCCGCGUCUGAUUAGCUAGUUGGUGAGGUAACGGCUCACCAAGGCGACGAUCAGUAGCUGGUCUGAGAGGAUGAUCAGCCACAUUGGGACUGAGACACGGCCCAAACUCCUACGGGAGGCAGCAGUGGGGAAUAUUGGACAAUGGGCGCAAGCCUGAUCCAGCCAUGCCGCGUGAGUGAUGAAGGCCCUAGGGUUGUAAAGCUCUUUUGUGCGGGAAGAUAAUGACGGUACCGCAAGAAUAAGCCCCGGCUAACUUCGUGCCAGCAGCCGCGGUA
rnacentral:rRNA from 1 species